AUUUAUUGGUAUUACCAACUCAAUCGACCAAACCGUCCAAUUGUCGUAAAUAAGAAAUAAAAUCCUCACUCAACUCUCUCUCACUCAAUUCUCUCUCUCACUCAAUUCAUUUUCCUCAGAUCUGGUAUUUUUGUUCAGUUGGUUGCUGAGCAUCAUCGGCCUCUUCAAGUAUCACCGCCGCUUCUUUAUCAGGUAUAUUUUAUUUUAUUUUUAAUUGUCGUUUGAAUUUUCAUUUUUGGAUUAUCAGUUUUUGAAUUCUCAGUUUUUGGAUUUUCAUUUUUCAAUUUGCGUUUCUGAAUUUUUGUUUUUGGAUUUCCGUUUUCCAAUUCUUAACUUUCGCUUUUUAAAUUUUCAGUUUCAUAAUUUUCGUUUUUUUAUUUUCAUUUUUGGUUUUAAAUUUUCAGUAUUUGAAUUAUCGCUUUUUAAAUUUUUAGUUUUUAAAUUUUUGUUUUCAGUUUUCGUUUUUGGAUCUUCGUUUUCCCUGUUGUUUGGGUUUGGGUUUUUGGAUCUGUUGUUUUGGUUUUUGGAUGUGGUGAUUUCCCGCUCGUGUGGGGGUUCGGGUGGGUGGGGCUUUGGGUGGGUGGGGCUUUGGGUUAGGGUUUCAUCGUCGUCUUCUUCUACUUGCACUUGACAGCUUCUAUUGAGAACUCAUCAAUGGCAGAAUCAAAAUGGAUUUUCUCUCUCCUAUCAAUCUACUUCUUCGUCUCACCCGCCUCACUUUUUGUUGCCAGUGAACAAGCACAAAAAGAAGAGUUCAAUGAAGAAUUGCUACUGAAACCGUUGCCCGAUCGGAAAGUUCUAGCGCAUUUUCACUUCGAUUCAAAAUCUAAUUUAUCAGCUCUUCUUUAUUCUCUCCUUUCAAAUGACCUUUUUCUUUUGGUCUUUUAUAGGUUUUCAGAGAAAUAAUCAUAGCUUCAACUUACUUAUUCUUUUAUGAAGUGUUUAAUUAUGAAAAUAUAUGAUUUUAUGAACAUUGAUGUUUAAUGUCCCAUUUGUUGUAUGAUUGCAUGAUUUGCAUCUGUCUGUAUAUAUAGAUGAAGUUUGGUGAUUAUUAUCAGCUAGUACUGUAAUGCUGGUUGUGAAAUUAUUCUAAGUUUAUCGAUGAAUUAGUAACCUUUCUAUUCAAAGUAGUUCUAUGUAGUUGCAGUCGACUUAUUGAUAAGAUCACUUUAAUUCAUCACAAUUAGCUCAACUGUGCCAUAUGCUAAAGAUUGUCUAUUUGGGAAACAUCCAAUCGCUAACUGACACCGAGAGGGUCGUUUACUUGUUCUUGAUUUAAGGGUUGAUUCACUUUUCAGGUUUGGGAUGUCCAAUGUGUAUGUUUCCAAAUCUGUUCCUUUAUAAUGUGAACAGAAAUUCAUCAAAUAUGUAAGUUAUUUGUAUACAGAUCUAUAAUGUGUUUAUAGAUUUUGCAUUCUGUUAAGUUGAAGGGAAUCACUAGAUUUUGAGUUAGGAAUCUGUAAAUAUCUAAUGGUUGUUGCUAGAGGUGAUGAUUGACUUGGUGCACAUGUAUAUAUCUUUUAUGAAUGGGAUCAAAUCAGUAAGGUAGUGCAGAUUCAUUAUUUCCUCUUAGAGGGUGCACUGAGUGGUUGAUGCAAGAGUCUUUUGGAAAACUAUGCUGAUAAUAGUCGUUUGGAGAGGUUGAGCACUAUAAAUUGUUUUGACAAAGAGUGGUUGAUUACAUUCUUGGCCAUGGCCAUGAUGGAUGCAUUGUAGCUGUUCCUGCCCCAGAUGCCAUAAAGAUAUUAGGAAAAGAAGCUACACAUGAUGAAUUGAGAAUACUUGGGGCUUUUCAAUACAUAUACAGGUGUGGAUAAUUUUCUCAGAUGAUCUAUUGAUUUACCUUUCCAUAAUCAUUAAAGUUGAUUCACAAGAUUGGCUCAACAUUGGAUCUCCUUAAUUGUGAUUUUUUUGGAUUUGCUUUCUUGAUGUCAAAUUGAAUCUUCUCUUUCAUAAAGUGCAUUGGAACUCACCAUAACGUAUGUGCUUUUGAAUGUGAAAAGUCUAUCUUUUUCAUAUGAUUGCCGAAUAUUAUUGUAACAAAUUAUGUCUAAUGGAGGAUAAGAUUAAUGCCUUGAGAAAUGGUUCUUAUUGCUUUUCAUUCUUUUGGUUAAGCCCUAAAAAAUUUUCAUGUUUUACAAUUACUGCCUCUACUCCCAUAUGUUUAACAAAUAAGGUAGUCCAGAUUCAUUAUUUCCUCUGGGAGGGUGCACUGAGUGAUUGAUUACAUUCUUCAACAUGGCCAUGGCUGUUGGAGCAGUGUUCCCAUUAAUGCAGGUUUUUUUGGGUUUGAUAGGAUGACUUUGGAAAGGUUGAAGAUUGAAAAUUUGUAUAUUGAAGAAGAAAUGAUUUCUUUCUAAUGUAUUAGAUAGAUUUUUUGUUAUUAUUUAUUUAAGUAAGGUUGUAAAUUAUUCACGAAUUUUGAUUUAUCAUUUCUAUUUAUAUUGUAAUUACUUUUAUUACAUAUAAUAAUAAUUAUAAUUUUUCCUCUAA